rnacentral:lncRNA from 1 species
UUUUGCUCCAAUGAUUUCGAGUUUGAGCUCAUCCAAUAAUUUCAUUCCUGGAUGCCUGGAUUUUGUUUGGUUUUGUAUUACUCGAGUGAUGAUGGUACCUGUGCUGAGCAUUAAUACCCUGAAUGAUCUACAAGUAGUAGUAGUAGAUUCAUGUUUAAUAAUUUCGCAGGUAAUUCUUAUAAUUCUCUCAUAGCACUUAUGAGCAGGGUCCCAUCAUGGAUCUCUCACACCUUACUAGUGGUGACUACCACGUGCUUGAAAUAUUGAAUGAACCCAGGAUUUUUAUUGAGGGGUUCAGGUCAACAUAUGCGAGAUACCUAUAGACAACAUAUUUCUGUACGGAUAAUUCUACUAUAAUUCAUAUGAUACUUGCUGACUUCUGGGAGUUCCAUUAUCUAGACUCCAGUGCACUUACUUUCCCCAGAUACAAUUCAUGGGACAGUCCAUCAUCUCAAUCGUUAUUGGUCCCAUCUCCAAAUCUAGUGAAGGACCUUCAGUUUGUUUUUUGCUGCCCAGGAAGGCUAGGAUUUCCUCACCACAUUUCAGGUUGGUCAUCAUAGAUUGUCUCUCCAUCUGCUUGUGUGGUGAAGCAUGUUUGUCCUAAUAGAAGGGCCAUUCUAAAAGAAUUUAUCAUACCUUCUUUUAAUAUUUUCUACUGGCGCGGUUGGCCAAAUGUAAUGGACUAGUAGAUGGGUAAUCAGCACAAGAUUGAGUGUAUAAACUGAGACCUUCCUGCCCAGAAGAUAUGUCUAGACAAGCGCUAAAGGCCUAAAAAUUAUUUUAUAGGUGGGGGUUGAAAAUGAAGACCACAAGUUGUGCUUCAUCCAAUUCCAAUGACAUCCUUCCUGCCAUGACUAUUGAAGUUCAAUGUCACUAAUAUCACUCUUCCUGCAAGCAAGGCAAGAACUUUUAUUUUUAGCAAAUAUAUCUUUCUGGUUCCGAAUCCUUUUCAAGUUUUCAACCAUACCAUGAGUGGAUUGCUGGUCUGGUCCUUUCACUUGUAUGUAAUUUUCUUGAAAAAAAGGAGCUAGUUAAUAUUUUAUUUCUUUUACCAAAUGCAUUUGUAUAUAUAUAUAUUUGUUUGGAAAACAUAAAAGGACAUGGUUUUAUAGUUUAAGUAGGUUUAACAAGUCACAACUAAUAAGAAGAUAAUUCCCAAUUGAAUUUUUGUUUUAUGUAAUACAUAUAUACACCUUUUAUGUUGUGUAUCUAUACAGUACACAAUUAAUUGGUUUUUUUGAAUUUUGCAGUUUUGGUUUGCUUGGAUUAGAUUUUACGAAGGCAUUUGCUGCAGGUAACUGUGUUCAUUAUUUCCUUUAGGAAAAUUAAUUCUAAUUGCUUACUUUUGUUAUGUUUAAUUAGUGGUUAUUCUCUUUUUCUUCCAUGUGUUGGUUCAAUGAAGUUUAAUAUUUUUUUUUUAUGUUUUAGAGUUUGCAUAUACCUUUUUGUUCCUAAUUGUCUAUAUGAUAAUGUUGGUUUACCUUGUUUUGAUAGUUUAUCACAUUAGGCCUUGAAUAAGCUGGAUUAUGUCAAGGUUGAAAAACUACAAAUAGUGCUAGUAUAACAAUUGAAUAUUCAAACGAAUCAAAUAAUAUGCAGAAAGUAAAUAACACACAGAAAUUUUUAACGUGGUAAAACCCAAUGAGGGAAACGUCCACGGUUGUCCUCACGACAACAAAUAAUCCACUAGAUGAAAAGAGAUGUACAAACCUAUCAACUACCUGCACUCACUGCGAGUUGAUACUCCUGGUUAUCUCUAACACCUUGACUUCACCAGAGCACCUUGAUGUACGCACAAGACACUCGAUUUCUUGAUGAACACACAAGAAGACUCGAAGCCGAAUUCACAAUGAUACUUGGAAGUUCACAAAGUUAUGAAUUGAGAGAAGGGGGAAGGAAGGGAAUUGAGUUCAAUAGCCACAAACACUUUCAACACCAAAACCUAAACCAAAACUCCUGAACUAGAAGAAGAAUGGACGGCCAAAGAACUGACUUGUUCUUUGGAAUAGAAACCCUAUUUAUACUGGGCCGAAAUAGUGAAAACCCACUUUGGACGUACGUACGUCGAUAUGACGUUCGUACGUCUUCCACACGAAACGAGCUUGCUGACUACUUGGACGUACGAACGUCCUAACAAGGUACGUACGUCCAGACCACAAACUGUCUUGCUGACAUACCAUCCGUACGUACGUCUUUAAGAGGUACGUACGUCCUGAAACAGCUACCAUACUUGUGACACACGACGCGAAGACAAGGACACGGGACGACGCGCGUACAACCAGGUUUUCUUAACAAUGAACUCAAGGCGAAAUAACCAAGGACACUUUGUCAAAAAAUUGAUGUCAAACCACUUCGUGCCGGUUUCAAAGGUUUACUCUUAUUAUUGUUAUAAGUUUUCUAUAAAAUUACAUGAAAACUGUAGUAUGCUUAGAUGCCAUAUAGGCCUUUGUUGGUUAGUGCUUAGGUUUCAAAAUUUCAUGCAAGGUUGUCAGCAGUUUGAAUGGUCAGUGGACACAUGCAAACUUAAUAUUUUUCAUUACGUUAGAUAAAUAUCUAGGUUUUGGAUCUUAUCUUCUUUGAGUGUAUAAGAUUCUUUGUUGUCUUGCAGGUUUAUCCCACUUUUUAGCUCCGCCAAUGCAAUAUAUAUUGCAUUGCCGGUUUCAAGCCCGGGAAAGGAGGAGGGAAAAAUGGCAGCUCAGUGUAAACGGGCAAUGCAUUUAAUGACUGUAUAGGUGAAGUCCUCAUUUUAUUAGGCUACGGUGGUCUUGCCAGUUGUCAGUACAUUUCUAUAUAAAAUGUGAAGUCCUCAUUCAUUUCUGGUUUGUUUUGCAGUGCGCAUCUCUGGUGUAACAGCCUAAUUACAUAAAUUCAGUUGACUAUGAGUUUGAAGACAUCUUUCAGUUUUCAUGUGUUGUUAUACUGAGAUACAUACUUUAACUCAAAUAUUGUUCCAGAUAUUUUAUUUUUAAUGUUUUAGAGUUGCUUUGUCAUCCAUGUUGUUGUUCUCCUCUUUUGAAUUGGGAUGUUGCAUAACCUGCAUCAGCGAUUGCACUUUGUGAUUUCGGUAGUUUUGAAGAACAAGCAAACAAAUACUAUGUUUACUGUGAAAACUAAUCUAAUUCUGCAUGGUAGUUUUGAUUUGCUUUGAAGACAGUCAACAGUUUGAUUGCUUUGGUACAUAUCAAUUGCUUAGAUGUCUGUGUUAUGGUAUCAGUUGACUGAUGGAUAUUCAUAAAAUUUCUGUUUAUUUCAGUGCAGAUCGAUCAGUGGUGAAGAACUUUCUAUAUUGAUACUUUCAGGCAAUCAUAUUGCAAUCGCAUUUGUUGACUAGUACAAGUUAAGGUAUACUAACGUCUUUCAGCUUUAUUCACAUCAAGAGUAUGUAUUCUCUCCAAGACUCACCCCUGUAUUCUGCAUGUAGUCGAUCUUGGUUAGAGGAGGUUUGUGUCCCAGCUGCUUGUACCAAGAAGACACAAGUUAUACAGGUAUAGCUGAUGUUUCUCUACUUACACAUAAUAUUGCUUUAUUUCGUUUUCAUAUACAAAGUCAUGAAACAUGUAAUUCUAA